AAAGUUCUAACACAACUUGUUGGUUAGUUGAGCAAAUAUCUUUAAAAUAUUGCGCAAAUGUGUGAAUAUAACUUACUGAAAUGGGCCAAUCAGAGCGAAGUUAACGUCUGUAAGAAAAGAAACAUAGGACGGACAUAGGCCGGUUUAUGCUUCGACGAUCGAAGGGUGCGAACUAACGCAGAUACUUCUAAUAUCUAAUCUCUAUAAAAGGAUGUAAAAAAAAUAGAAAAGUAGCAUAAACUGAAACAGAUUUUAAUCCUUGCGUCUCUCUGUACAGUGUAUUUCUGCUGGUUGGGUAUUUCUUUGUUAUUGUUAUUUUCGUUGUUAUAUUGUUAGUUUUGUUGUUGUUAUUGUUGUAACUCAAUGGUUUAAUCAAUAAAGUUACAUGUCAACCAGAA